UACGUAGGGUGCAAGCGUUAAUCGGAAUUACUGGGCGUAAAGCGUGCGCAGGCGGUUUUGUAAGUCUGUUGUGAAAUCCCCGGGCUCAACCUGGGAAUGGCAAUGGAGACUGCAAGGCUAGAGUUUGGCAGAGGGGGGGUAGAAUUCCACGUGUAGCAGUGAAAUGCGUAGAGAUGUGGAGGAAUACCGAUGGCGAAGGCAGCCCCCUGGGCCAAUACUGACGCUCAUGCACGAAAGCGUGGGGAGCAAACAGG
rnacentral:rRNA from 1 species